CGGCGGCGAUCGGAGACCUCCCGUUUCUCGAGUACCUCAAGUUUCACAAAUCCGGGGUCACCGGAGAAAUCCCGGAAUCCAUAACAAAGCUUUCUCACCUUCAGUUUCUCGAUCUCCGGUGGAAUUAUCUUACAGGCCCUGUUCCUUCAUUCCUCGGCAAACUCAAGAAACUGACGUACAUUGCGUUGUCGUUCAACAAUCUCACCGGCUCGAUUCCAGCUUCACUUUCCGAGAUCCAGAACCUUGGAAGACUCCGUUUGGAUCGGAACAAGCUCACCGGAGGAAUCCCGGAGUCGUUUGCCGAUUUCCGGCAGCAGGAUUUCUCUCUCUACUUGUCCCAUAAUCAGCUGACGGGGAAUAUUCCGGCGAAGCUGGGAUAUGCUAAUUUUACGUGGAUCGAUGUUUCUAGAAACAGGCUUCAAGGUGACGUGUCGUUCUUGUUCGGGAAGAACAAGAGUUUAGGAGUGGCUGAUUUUUCGAGGAAUAUGUUGGAGUUCGAUUUGUCCGAGGUGGAGUUUCCGGCGAGUUUGACGGAUCUGGAUUUGAAUCAUAACAGGAUUACGGGCAGCCUGCCCGAGGGAUUGGCUGAGUUGGGCAGCACUCUUAACUCGCUCAACGUGAGUUACAAUCGGCUUUGCGGUAGGAUUCCGGCGGGUGGCAGGUUGCCGGAUUUUGAUUAUACGGCGUAUUUUCAUAACAGAUGUCUGUGCGGUGCUCCUUUGCCAAAAUGCAAAUGAUUUAUUUCUGUAUUCUGUUUGCAAAUAUUUUUAAAUGGGUAAAAUACAAUUUUAGUCCCUCAUAUUUGCACUGAUUUCACAUUUGGUCCCUAUGUUCACAAACAAAACACAUUUGAUCCCUUAUGUUUCAAAACUUCAACACUUUUAGUCACUUCCGUUAAUUUUUCGUUAAGACUAACGGAAUCAAGCAUGUGAUCAUCACUGCCUUAACUGACAGAGUAUCGGUAAAUUGAAGAAAUCAAGAAAAUGACAAAAAAUGUUAAAUUAUUGAAACAUGAGAGACUAAAUGAGUUUGUUGUGAAAAUGGAGACCAAAUGUGAAAUCAGUGCAAAUAUGAGGAACCAAACUAUGAUUUCCCCAUUUUUUAAUAGGGUAAAUUAUACGGUAAGGUAAAAUUACAAGAAAAACCCUUCAUGUUUGGGUAAUUACAACCACCCCUCAAUUAUAAAAUUUUCUUACAUGUACACCCUUUUGGUGUCAAAUUUAAUAGAAUAUUCUAAAUUCCGUGAAAUAUGCUCCACUUUGUAGUCGUUUUGUGCACAAAUGCAGUUUAAGAUACACCACAAUUUGAUAUUUACACGUACACAUCUUAUGAUCAUCUUGCUUCAAAAUGUGGAGCUCGAAUGACGGCUACAAACGGAAGAAUAUUCCACUAAAUUUGACACUAUAGGACCAAUGUGUAAGAACAUUCAUAAUCGAUAGAUAAUUGUAAUUAUCAAAAGAUAAGAAAUUUUUUCGUAAUUCGAACUCACCUCGGCGCGGUGGUAAUUUACCCUUUAAAGUUUAAACUAAUAUCUAGAAAUAGAUUCUUCACUAUGAGUUGGAAGGAAAAAGACAAGAAGAUGACCAAAUACUAAUAUGCAAUUAAUCAUUAAAAUCUGUUUAAUUAAAAUUAAUCAUUGAAAUCAGUGAGAGUUGACCAAGUGUAUUAAUCCUCCUCCAACACUUCCAUUACUCAGAAAUCAGAAACCAUGGCUGAAUACAUCAUCUUCUUCCUCAUAUGGCUAAUCUCCACCAUCAUAAUCCGAACCCUAAUCAAGCAACGAUCUUCUACUUCUAGAAGCCUUCCCCCAACGCCACGUGGCUUACCGAUCAUCGGCCAUCUCCAUCUUCUAUCCCCAAUACCCCACCAAGCCCUAGCGAAGCUCUCGUCCAAACACGGGCCGUUAAUCCACAUCCGCCUCGGAUCUUACCCAUGCCUCAUCGUUUCAUCGCCGGAGAUCUCGAAAGAAAUCCUCAAAACACACGAGAGCUCCUGCUCCAAUCGCCCCCAAAACGCCGCCAUCGAUUACCUCACCUACGGCUCACAGGAUUUCACCUUCGCACCUUACGGCCCGUACUGGAAGUUCAUGAAGAAGCUCUGCAUGUCCCGCCUCCUCGGCGGGCCCACCCUCGACCUCCUCCGGCCCGUUCGGGCCCACGAGAUCAAUCGGCUCGUUCAGUUCGUGGCGAGCAAGGCGGGAAACGGCGAAUCGGUGGAUAUUGGAGGUGAGUUUGUGAGAACGACGAAUAAUGUGAUAUCGAGUAUGAUCAUGAGUCAACGGUGCUCCGGCGACGGAGAAGGUGGAGCUGAGGCGGUGAGGAAACUGGUUCAGGAUAUUGCGGAGCUCACGGGUAGGUUUAAUGUGUCGGAUUAUAUUUGGUUCUGUAAAAAUUUGGAUUUGCAGGGGUUUGGUAAGAGGAUGAAAGAUGUCCGCGACAUGUUCGAUGAAAUGACUGAGAGAAUUAUCGACGAGCAUCUCGUUCGAAGGAGGGAAUAUUCGCAGGAAUCUGUGAAGGAUCUUCUUCAUAUAUUACUUGAUAUAGCUGAAGAUUCAGCUUCUGAAUUUAAGCUAACAAGACAGAAUAUCAAGGCUUUUAUCCUGGUAAUAAUUAAUCUUCUGUUUAUUCAUUCUUCUGUAUUUUUGAACAAUUAUGGUUGCCUCCCUGCACUUUGAUCUAAUUACAAAAAACCCUCUUGUUUUAAAAAUUACAAUUACCCCCUCUGAGGUUAGAAGUUGCAUAAAAUUGAUGUUAGUAGUAACGAAAUCUUUGAGUUGCCAUGAAUAGUUUCUUAUGAAUUCCAAAUUUAACCAUACCAUAGGGGUGUAAUUGUAAGAUUUUAUGGAAAUAUAAGGGACCAAAUGUGUUUUUUGUGAACACGAGGGGCCAAAUGUAUAAUACGUGCAAACUUGAAGGAUUAAAAUUGUAAUUUUCCUCUUAUUCUUCUCUUUUUUUUUUGUAACAAUUACGUUUACCUCCCCUGCGCUUUGAUCUAAUUACAAAAAUUCUCUUGUUUCAAAAAUUACAAUUACCCCCGAGGUUAGUAGUUGCAUAAUAUUGACCCCAUACGGUGUUAGUAGUAACGAAAUCUUUGAGUUCCCAUGGACAGUCUCUUAAGAAUUCCAAGUUUAACUAUACCAUAGAGGUGUAAUUGUAAGAUUUUAUAUUUAACAGGGGGCUAAAUGCAACAUUUGUAAUGGUUGUUCAAUUAAUUUUGUCUACAAAAUAAUGCAGAUAUAUCUUUUAAAUUUGUACACAAAAUAAACAAAAACAUUUCGUAAUUUAUAAAACAUGAGGGUCUUUUUGUAAUUAGAUCAAAUCUGAGGGGAUUUAACCGUAAUUUACGCUAAUUUGUAUGAUCUUGCCAGGACUUAUUUACUGCUGGAACAGAUACAUCAGCAAUCACACUACAAUGGGCACUCUCAGAGCUAAUAAAUCACCCUGAAAUAAUGCAAAAAGCGGCUCAAGAAAUCGACUCUCUCAUAGGAAACAACGAAAGACUCGUCCAAGAAUCGGAUAUUACUAAUUUGCCCUACCUUCAAGCCAUCGUAAAAGAAACACUAAGGCUCCACCCAACGGCCCCACUAAUCGGUAGACAGUCGAGCGAAGACUGCACUAUUGCAGGGUACUGUAUUCCGGCCGAGACUCGAUUAUUCGUGAACGUGUGGGCCAUAGGAAGAAACCCCGAUUAUUGGGAAAACGCGCUCGAGUUUAUUCCGGAGAGGUUUAUUUCGUCUGAGUUGGAUUUGAGAGGGCAGCAUUAUCAUUUCUUGCCGUUUGGGAGCGGUAGAAGAGGAUGUCCUGGAAUAUCAUUGGCUUUGCAGGUUGUUCAGACAACCUUAGCUGCGAUGAUUCAGUGCUUUGAGUGGAAAGCCGACGGAGUUAGUACUCGUGUGGAUAUGGAAGAAGGGAUCGGAAUGACAUUGCCGAGGGCUAAUCCUCUCGUUUGUUCUCCGGUUUUGAGGCUCAAUUCCAUUCCAUCUAAUAUUUUUUUUUAGUUCAAUUGCUCAAUAUAUAUAUAUAUAUAUAUAUAUAUAUAUAUAUAUAUAUAUAUAUAUAUAUAUAUAUUCUUACUUUUUUUAUUUGAGUACCUCAAUUAGUUUCACAAAUCCGGAGAAAUCCCGGAGUCCAUAAAAUGUUCAAGCUAGCUUGUAUAUAUAUAUUUAUCGAGUUUUUAAAAUUGUAUUUGGACUUGGUAAUGUUUAACGACCGACUUGAGCUCCAACAAGCUUAAAUCGAGUCCGAAUAAGAACCGAGCUCGAGCACUUUCAAUUUUUGUUCAUAUUUUUUCUAAUUAAAUUGGAGCUCGAACUUAAUGCUAACAAAAAUAGAUCUUCAUGCUUGGUUCGUGAGUUUGACAAAUUGAACUUAAACGAAACUUUUAAAGAAUAACCUCGAAUCGAAUUAUAGCCUAUCGGGUAAAUUAGUUUAAUUUUCGUGUCAGCCCCUAACUAGUGGAUACAAUGUUAAUUUUAGUUUUGUUACACAUAAAAUAAAUCAAACUUGAUAUCCAAAAAUUAUAUUUUCUAUAUAAUAUGAUUGUAAAUUAAAAAAAAAAAAAAAAAAAAAAAAAACAAACAAACAAUAUUGAGUAAUUGUCACGUGUACCGUUAUAUAGUUUGUUUUAGUGCACACCUGCUUAUUCUCAUAGGCUCAACCACACCGGAUUACAGCCCAAUUGAACUUCUCCAACUAUAAAACCGUCCCGCUCACAGAGCAAAGCAUGUUUCUUCUAUUGCGUUUUUCAUUCUCAGAUUUUUUAUUCUCUCUGUGAAAUCUAACCGCCUCUUUCUCAUUCAAAAAUUCAGCUCGUAUCUGCGUUCUCUGCCGUUACAAGGUAUGAUUAGAUUAUUCGCUAUAUGUAUACAUUGUACGUAUAUACCAUUGUAUGCGUAGUUACUGUGUGAGAAAGUGUGUUCGCGAGGGAAAAUCAAUUACGCCUUUGAGGAAUUUAGGGCUAUCGGACCAGCUGUUUUUUACUGUUUAAGCGUGUAGUUGUAUGUGUUUUGAAAACGGAAAUGAAAAUUAGCUGCUGAAAUUUCAUGUUUGUGCGUGUAAUUGUAUGUGUUCUGAGAACGAAAAUGAAAAUUAGCUGCUGGAAUUUCAUGUUUGUGCGUGAAAUUUUGUGUGUGUUCUGAGAACGAAAAUGAAAAUUAGCUGCUGGAAUUUCAUGUUUGUGCGUGAAAUUGUAUGUGUUCUGAGAACGAAAAUGAAAAUUAGCUGCUGGAAUUUCAUGUUUGUACGUGAAAUUGUGUGUGUUCUGAGAACGAAAAUGAGAAUUAGCUGCUGAAAUUCCAUGUUUGUACGUGAAAUUGUGUGUGUUCUGAGAACGAAAAUGAAAAUUACCAGCUGAAAUUUCAUGUUUGUACGUGAAAUUGUGUGUGUUCUGAGAACGAAAAUGAGAAUUAGCUGCUGAAAUUUCACGUUUGUGCGUGAAAUUGUGUGUGUUCUGAGAAGGAAAAUGAAAUUUCAUGUUCGUGCGCCUUUGUGUGCGUGUGUGUAAUGUGAUUUUUCUUCUCUUAUUUUGAAGCAACAAUGGUCAAUUGGCUUCGAAAGUUUUUAGUCUGCUUGGGUAAAGCCCAUGAUGCCAAUGCCGGUACCCGUGCCGAGGACUAUCCGGAGAAUAUAUGGUCGGAGGACCUUGUGAGGCACUCCUCCGGAGAAUGCUCUAUGGCGAUGGUUAGAGGGAACAAACAUGUAGAGGACCGUUGCCAUGUAGUGGUCACCCCAGCCGGUACAUUCUUUGGUGUUUACGACGGCCAUGGUGGCUCCGCCGCCUCUCAAUUCGUGCUUGACCAUUUACAUACUAAUUUCACAAGUAGCGUAUUUCUCCCCCCCCUUUUUUUUUCUUUUUUUAUUUAUUAAACGUUGUUUACUUAGACGCGAUUUAAAAAACUUUUUUUCUUGUUUUUUCUUUUUGGUGGUAGGGAUUUUACAAGAAGCAGGGGGGGUUAUGUCUGAUGAAGUCUUGCGGAAUGCAUUUUCUGAAACAGAAAAUGAGUUCAUCGAGUUGAUUCGAAAACAAUUUAGCCUAAUGCCAGCAAUCGCAGCCAUUGGAUCAUGCGUUUUAGUUGGGGUGCUUUGGGGGAAGGAUCUCUAUUUGGCCAACUUAGGUGACUGUCGAGCAGUGAUGGGUGGUUUAAUGGAAGGACAAAUUUGGAGGGAACGUGCGAUGACUGUUGACCAUAAUGCUAGGUCUUCAGAUAUAAGAAAAGAAUUACAAGAAGCGCACCCUGAUGUUCCGGACGUUGUUCUUAAGAGAGGCGUUUGGCGGGUCAAGGGCAACCUUCAGGUAGGCGAUGAAUUUAGUUUUUUUAAUUUCUUGUUCUUUUAGCUAAUCUAAUUUGCUUGAAUAUUAUUUCUGUGUUUCUUGCUUCUUGGACUUUUGCAAGUGACUUUAUUAAGAUUUGUAGUUAUUUUUACAUUCUUUAUGAAAGGUACAUAUUUGAAUUGUUAACCAGAUGAAUUCUAUUAAAACUAUUAUCCAUUGGGGAUGCUUACCUCAAAUUUCCGGAAUUUGACGAACGAGUGAUAAUAUUUUGUUUUUUUGGUGAAAUUAGGUGACGAGAUCCAUUGGGGAUGCUUACCUCAAAUUUCCGGAAUUCUCCUUGAACACUAUUUCAAGAUAUAAGAUCAAGAAGCCUAUUGUUCGACCAGUGGUGAGAGCUGAUCCAGAGAUAACGAAGACAGUUUUACACAAAGAUGAUAGAUUUAUUGUCUUCGCGACUGACGGGCUGUGGGAUGAAUUAUCCAAUACAGCGGUGGAUCUGAUAGUUAGAGGGGAGCCUCGACCGGUAUGUGAUCGUAUUUGAAUACCAAUACUAAUUAUGAAUAUUAUAAUUACUUGUUUGGUUUUUUUUUUAAUUGGUGUUUUAAGGGGAUUGCAAGGACACUCAUCAGAAGGGCACUAGAAGUAGCAGCGACCAAGAAUAAGAUGACGUACGAGCAGUUAAAGAGGCUGGACGAGGGCCAGCGUGACAGAAGACCAAUCCACGAUGACAUGACCGUCAUCGUGGUGUUUUUCGAUCAAGCAGCACCGGGUGAGGAACCCAUGGUAAGCUAUACCUUGGGUAAUGCUGGACCAUCAAGCAACCCCGGUGCUGGACCAUCUAGCAGCUCCACUGGAGCAUCAAGCAGCUCCAAUGCUGGACCGUCAAGCAACCCCGGUGCUGGAGCAUCAAGCAGCUCCAAUGCUGGAGCAUCAAGCAGCUCCAAUGCUGGACCAUCAAGCAACCCCGGUGCUGGAGCAUCAAGCAGCUCCAAUGCUGGAGCAUCAAGCAGCUCUAAUGCUGGAGCAUCAAGCAGCUCCAAUGCUGGACCAUCAAGCAACCCCGGUGCUGGACCAUCAAGCAGCUCCAAUGCUGGAGCAUCAAGCAGCUCCAAUGCUGGUAUAGUUCUUUAUUAUCACUAAUAAGCUUAUCCCAAUUAUGCUAAUUUUCUUUGCAUCACUAUUAUGGUUACAACCUGAUGAAACUGAGUGUAAACUCUGACGUUGAUUACUAUGAUUGGCACUUUUUUUUCAGAAAAAAAAAUCUUGUUAAUUAGUAGACAUUUUGAAAUUUGAAUUACAUUAAGUGCAGCCUGUUGAUUUAGUCCAAAAGAAAGAACUAAUAUACAACAAAUUCAAUUUUGUAUUUGCAGUUCAAGCUGUUCGUGGUAUCUACAGGGCCGAGCAGCUGGUACACUGGAAACCCGAAGCUUGGAUCGGAGUUCAGUGCUUCAAAUCAUCCAUAAUCAACCUGUAAUUUCUUGGUUAUUUUAUUUCAUAUUAUAAAUUCAUUUCUUAAACUAAGAGCAAUAUUCACAGUCAACCUCUUCCUUUUUCAGUCAACUUCACGGGCUGGAGCUCACUGGAAAUCUUGGGUAUCAGCUGUCCAAUCUAAAAACUUUGAAGCAUAUGUAAGAAAUUGUGGUUUAUGUAAUUUUUUUUAUUAAUUCAUUAGUAUUUUGAUAAUGUUCUUGUGACCGAUUUUGUGUAAACUUCAUUUUGACCGGGACCUUAGUUCAAAUAACAUUGAAGGCUCAAUCCCGUAUUGUUUACCUCCAAACCUCACACACUUGUAAGGACACUACUCCACUUAGCUUGUUGCCUUUUAGAAUUAAUAAUUCUAACUUCACAUGCUUUUGCAAGAAUUAGCUAUUCUAAGUCGUACUGUACUUAUUGCCUUGUGGAUCUAAAAGGAAUGUAAUCUAAAUCAGUAAACCAUAUUCCUUAUUUAGUAGGCAUUAUUUUUACUGAUGAUUCACAUAUGCAGUUUUACUGCUUGUCAACUUAUCAUUAGUGGUUGAAGAUGAAUAGGAUUUCAGCUCUUGAUUUGCCCCUUUAUCUGCUUAUUAUGCUCCUCUUUUGGAUCAAAGACUCAACCAAGUUUUCUUGGCUUUUUUUUUUUCCCAUUUUCACCAUUGCUGAGAAUACAAUCUCAAUCGCCUUUCAUCAGGGAUUUGUCGUUUAAUAACUUCACUCGAGAUCUGCCCACCUCAUUCAGAUCACUGACAAACCUUACAGGCUUGUGAGUUUUCGUCUUCUUCUUCAACAUCCAAUGACAAGAGUUAUAAUUUUCAGGUUUAUGCAGCGCAAUCAACUCACUGGAUCAGUGUUUUUCUUAUCCAAUCUCUCGCUUACUGACUUGUACGUCUUCUCCAAUAAAAUUUCAUAAUUUAUUCCAAUCUAGUUCAGUUGUUCAUGUACUCACCUACUCCGAUUUUCAGGAAUAUCGAAGACAACCAUUUCAGUGAUGUUAUUCCUGAAAACUUUCAAGCUAUAGCCGCCUUGAGGUAAUCCAUUUAUAAGCUUCUUCAUUCACCUCAUAAAUUUGAAACAUUAUAUUUAUUCAGGAUUGGUGGGGUCGCUCUCGUUGCAUCAUUUUUGGCUAUUGCACUUGUGGUGCAAAAACAUCGCUCACGUGGGAAAACACUCGGCAGCUUGGAGAGCAGUGAAAAUUCAGUGAGAUCUCUACCAAUCGGCACAGUCCAAGGUGAAACACAUGUCGUUUUAGCAAAACAUAAAACCAACUGAUUAAAAUGUCUUGUGGAUAUUUAUUUAUAUUCUUCUGAAAACUGUACACAAUAUAGCAGAGCUUCAAAUAACAACAAACAGCUUGGGUGAAGAAAACUUCCUCUGUGAGGGUUCCCUUGGUUCUGUUUACAGAGCAGAGUUUCUAGAUGCAUAUCAAUUGUUGACGAGAUGGGCUUCAUCGAAACCUCAUGACAGCACAUCAUUAGGACAGAUGGUUGAUCCAGCAGCUAUUAUAAGAACAAUCUCCUCCAAAUCUGCCUCUCGUUUCGCUGACAUCAUAUCUCCGUGUAUACAGGUACCUCAAAAAAAACGCCAUUAAGUAGGAUUACCAUAUUGUUUCAUUACAUAAAAUUUUACUGUCUGAAAAUGCACCAUCACAGCCUAAACAAGAAUUCAAGCCCACCAUGCCUGAAGUUGCCGAGUCUUUGAUGCAAAAGCCGAUUGCCCCAGAUGGCCCUGAAGUUGCUGACUCUUUCGAUCGAUCUCUUAGGUCAACCAAUACCCGUUUCUGUGGAUCACCUACUCUAAGCUGCUACUCUGUUUAAGAGUCAGUUGUAAAAUUAGGGUACAAGUGUUAAUAACACAUUGGAAUGUAAAACGGCAUUUCUAAGUAAAUAGACAAACACUUUGUCACACCCAAUUCUUUAGGUGGAGAUAAUGCAGAUGUUGAUUGAUAAUGUCUCAUUCAGUAACAUACAAAAACAAAAGUUUAAUGCAAAUGUUGAAACAAUUUUGUUUGCUAUUGUUCAGUACAAGGAACGUCGAUCUAGUUAUACAUUUAAGCCACUACUGAGCAAUGAGUUAUUGAUAUAGGUCUUCCAUCGAACAGUUUCGAAAGUCUCUUCAACUCUCUCGUUUUUCACUAGGGCUGCUUACUGCAAAAUUGAAAUUUUCUUAGAAAGUCAACUUUGAAAGUCAAACCCUAAUAUAGAUUCCACUUUCGUAACUUAACAUAAGAUGAAAUCACUUGAGUCGGGGCUUCGGAAGACAAUGAAUUUUGCAGCUCCACACGUUUGUUAUAUAUAUAUGUCUUUUAACUUCACCUCAUGGUGCUUCUUUUAACUUCACCUCAGUGUGCUUCUUUUCUUGUGAUAUGGGCUUUAGCAUGAAAGAUAACCUCAGUAAAAAUAAACGUAAUAAAGUAAGUUCACCUCUUAACUGCAGGGAGCCAUUUAACAAAUCCCAUUUCUUUUUUUCUUUUUUUUUUCUUUUUUUAUUACUAUGGUUUUUGGUAAUUCAUUUGCUCAUUGUUUAAUUCUGCACUGCAGUAGAGGAGGAGGAGGAGGAUGAUAUAUCAAGACGGAUGCAGUUUAAUUGGUUGAAAAAACUAAUGGCGCGAAAAUCAACAACAACGAGGAUCUCACAUCCCAACAACGAGGAUAACAAAACUCUGCAGGUUUAUUAAAUGUUAUGAAUCUUUGAUAUUAAAUUUUAUAUGUGAAACUGCAUCGUGCUCUUGUAUUAUAUUGGAUUUACAGUUCUAAGGGAAAUUAGGGGGGUUUUUCGAAAUGAGUACAAAACAAAACUCUGUGCUUCUGCAGGUAUAUAUAUGUUAUGGAUCUUGAUAUUAAAUUUUAUAUAUGAAACUGCAUGCUGUUGUAUUAUAUUGGAUUUACAGUUCAAAGGUUUUUUUUCGAAAUGAAUACAAAACAAAACUUGAACUCCAAGAAAGAUUAAAGCUAAGCGUCUUAUUCUGAUACAAGGUACCUCCGCCUCCACUUACGUUGCUAAUUAAUCACCUAUUCCAUCACUUAAUCAGUACGCAAUUUUGAUGUAUUUCAUUACUUAACUCAGGAAUUUCUAGAGAAAGAGGAUCGACGAUGUCGGACGAUAUUCGAAAACAGAAAAGGUGUUUAUGAAUGUUGUUGGAGAAACGUAACUUUCAAAGACAAUCCUCAAAUUACAUAAAUGGAAAUCGUUAUACAUCGCUAGUUUGGGGUGGGGGACUCGAGCAUUUCGAGAACCGGACUAAUAAAAUUAUGGCAUUGCAGAUUACGACCAAUUCAAGGUCAUCAGAUAUGUUCAUUGUUAUAUUUUCAAAAUUUCUCUUUGAAUUUAUUAUAAUCGUGUAUGUAUGUAUGAAUGAAUGAAUGAAUUACAUUUACUCCAGGAACAAGGAUCUAUCAGUGAUGCAUACCUGAAGCAUUACGAAUUAGCUCUCGGAUAUCAUAAAUAUGACACUAUAUAUAUAUAUAUAUAUAUAUAUAUAUAUAUAUAUAUAUAUAUAUAUAUAUGGUAAUUCUUGUGCAUUCAAGUUGCUGUUGAGAAUUGAGAUUGUCCACAAAAGCCCAACACUGCUAAUUUUAAAAUUUAAUUUUAGCCCUAAAAUAGUAUUUUUUGUUACAUGUGAACAGAGGAUACUUGAUGGAGGAGAUCAUAAGUGAAAUCGGACGGACGAAAAAGUGUAAUUCUCCCUAGUUUGUAGAAUUUUAAAUGAAAACAUUGUUAUAACGUUGGAAUUUUCAAAUGGGAAUCGGCAGAAUCCGAAAAUUCAGUUCAAGUUUAAUUUCUACCCAUGUGCCACAGAAACUCCAACUUCUCAAUGUUUUUCUGCGUUUCAGAAAUGUUUCGUAUCGAAAACUCGAAAACACCUGUCGGACACCUUAUGGGUCAUUUUGUAAUUAUUAAAAAGUUAGAAACAUGUUUGAAUAGCUAAUUUUCAAAUAUUUUUAUUGCUUCUCAAAUUAUUUACAUCGAUUCAAUGACCAGUUGCAAAAUAAUAGUUUAUAGUAAAAUUUAUUUUCAAUAUAUUUGUGUUUUUUUGGGUGAUUCUCUAGUUUCUUGGAAAGCCAAGAAACAAUCCAUAGUCUCCAGAUCCUCAGCUGGAUCUGAAUAUAGAACUUUAGCAUCCGUGUCUAGUGAAUUGGUUUGGAUCAAUCAUAUUCUUCAAGAUUUUCAGAUUUCAGUUGAUUCCAACUUGGUCUUCUGUGACAAUUUCGCUGCAGUUCAUAUUGACUCCAAUCCAACUUUUUACGAACGCACGAAACACAUUGAGAUCGAUUGCCACUUCAUUCGGAAACAAGUUACUCAUGGUUUUGUCAGACUUAUGCUCGUGCCUAGUCGCGAUCAAAUUACUGAUAUUUUUACCAAAGCACUGCAAUUUCCUCUUUUUUCUCACUUGUUGUCCAAGAUGGCCUUGAAGAACAUUUAUUCUCCAGUUCCAUCUUGAAUGGGAUGUUGGAAUAUUUAUAUUCACAAUUUUAUUUUUGCUAUAACACAAAUAAAAGUGUUAUAUGCUAUUAGCGUUUUUGUUAUUAGUUUAGUAAAUAGCGUUUUCUCUUUUACACGUGUAAAGACAUGUAUACAAACCAACUCUUUGUUACCGUUGGUUAAUUAAUUCCCUUUUAUAAAAAUUAGUUUCUCUUUCUCUCUCUGUAACAAACUCUCCCUCCUUCUGCAACAAUGGAGUUUUCUAUCUCCUUGUAAAAUUCUUCAAUUUAAUACCCUCUGAACUAUAAACCUUUUUACACGUUCACCCUUGUGAUUUCAAAUUUAGUGGAAUUUUCGAGAUUAUAUGAAAUAUUAUCACUUUUGUACCUAUUUUAUCUCAUUCGAACUCUACAUUUUGAAGCAAGAUUAUCAUAAUAUGUGUAUUUUAGCUUGUAUAUAUCAGAUUGUGAUGCAUCAGAAACUCUAUUUUUACACAAAACGAGUACAAACUAGAGCACAUUACACGAAAUCUAGAUGAUUAUGUUGAAUUUGACACCAUAAGGAUGGAGAUGUAAGAAAAAAUCAUAGUUGAGGGGUAGAUAUAAUUAUCCAAAUAAGAGGAAUUUUUUCAUAAAUUGAUCAUACCUCGGGGUGUUUGUAAUUUACCCCAUUUAUAUAUAUAUAUAUAUAUAUAUAUAUAUAUAUAUAUAUAUAUAUACAACAACUUAUUUUAUCCCACAAAAACCUCUCAAUUGAUUUACUAACACUUCACUUUUUUUUUUGUUUUAAUAAUCAUUAUUUUUAUUAAUAAUGAAGAAGUAUAAUAAUUAUAUUUCUUUGACGACAUCUUUAAAAUUAUUUUUUAUGUUUUUUUUUUCUCUAUUAAUUCUCUAAUUUUUCACUUUGAAAUGCUAUUUUAUGUUCGUCCCAGAGAAAAUGCUAGUAAUUGAAGACCCAAUGCAUAAGCCAAAUUUAAUAAUGGGCCCACCAAAUAUCUAAUCUCAUGUAUAGAAAAUUACAGAUCUGUAAUGCAACGGUGAUUUAUGGCUCGUGACGAAUUACAUAUGUGUAACGCAACGGUGAUUUAUGGUUCGUGACGAUUGAGAGCACAUCGGUUGUCAUGUAUUAGAGCGGAUGGUUAUAGCGGUAGAUGGCCAUUGGAGACAGUGGUGUGAGGUUAGUCUACGGUGGGAGGUGGUUGCAUCAAUCUAGGCCUCUUUGAUGGUGCUAGGGUUUUGGUUGGCGGCUAGGAUUUAGUGGAUAGAAGUUGGUGGCGGCUGCAAAUUGUUGGCGGCUAGGGUUUGGCGACGGCUGAGAGUUGUUUUGUGGCUAGGGUUUGGAACAGUAGACCGUAGUAAACUAUAGUAUACUGUAGUAUACUAUAGCACAAGUAUACUAUUGUAUCCCGUAGUAUAUUACACUAGACUAUAGUAUACUAUAGUAUACUACUGUAUUAACAACAGAUGAAAUCAAAAAAAAAAUAUUUAAAAUAUGUAAAUUGAAUUAAAAAAAAUAUAUAUAUAUAUAUUUUUUUUUCGUAAUCUUCAAUAUUACAAAGAGAAAAAAUAAUUUUUUAAUUGUGUAAAAAUUGCUACAAUGAAGAAAUAGAAAGAAAAAGAAAAGGAUAUUAAACGUGUUUUAUAUAAAAAGAAUUAAAAUGUUUGGUUGAAAAAAUUAAAAUAUAUUAAAUACUGACUAAAAAAACAAUAAAUGCAAUUUGAAUUUUAAUUAAUGUAAAUUUCGAAUUUGUGUGUUGGAGGGCAUUUUUGGAAUAAAUUUUAUGAAGGAUGUGUAGCAAAUGUUUAGUUUAGGUUGUCAUUUAGUUCUAAUAAGUUUUGUCACUAGGAACCUAUAUCUUAAGGCCCCUUUUUUCUUUUUGUAAUUAACCAUACCUAGGGGUGGUUGUAAUUUACCCUUAAGAAGUAUAAUAAUUAUACUUUCUUUAACGGCAUCUUUAGAAUUAUUAUUUUGAGUUAAUUGCAUAGAGCCUCCUGUGAAAAGUCUAAUUGCCGGAAAAGUCCUUAUGUUAAAAAAAUUAGCAUUGACCCCCCCUAUAAUGAGUUUUAUUUAGUCUACGGCCCCUUUUAUCAUAUUUUGCUAUUGACUUUGGUGAAAUGACUAAACUACCCUAAUUAAAAUACUAUAGGUAAAAUAUAAUUUUGUUUGUAUAAAAAAACAAGAAAAGAAAAAGAAAAAUAAAAUAAUGAGAGAAAGGGGCUGCAAUUCAUCUUCUUCCUCAACACCACCUGCUAUUCCCACUGGUGAGGCAGAAACUUUUGCUUAUUAUUCUUACUCGGCUCUAAAACACGGUCAACAUCAAAGAGAAACGACGAAUCCGACGGCGGCGGCUGACCCAAAUGUUAUCCAUGGUGCUGAGUUUUCUUCUUUGUAAAUCCCCCGNNNNNNNNNNNNNNNNNNNNNNNNNNNNNNNNNNNNNNNNNNNNNNNNNNNNNNNNNNNNNNNNNNNNNNNNNNNNNNNNNNNNNNNNNNNNNNNNNNNNGUGGCGGUAGGGGGGUGGAGGGAAAAAGCUCGUCAAACAGAAUGAGGAAGAGGCGGUGGACGGUUGCGUGGUCGUAGGAGGGGUGGAAGGAGAAUGGAUGGGAGGAGCGGUGGACAACGGCGAGGAUGCGGUGGAGGCGGGCGAGGGAGCUGCGCAGCCGGUGGAGAUACUGGAUAAAUUAAGAAACCUAGGAUAGAGAAAUUAAAGUGGAAGUGUGUGAAUUUGUGUGUGUUACUACGUGUUUUUUGAUUUCAAUGGGAGAGAGGGCUUUAUUGAAAAUAGCAGGGACUAAAUUGAAACUUUUGAAAAUUUUAUUUUGGUUACAAAAAUAUUGGGGUCAUUCUAUAAUUUUUUAAAUUUCUGAUUUAAAGGGUAUUUAAGUAUUUUCAAGCUGAAAAACACACUCCCACUCACAUAAAUGGCGAGUGUAUUGCACGAUCAUGGGCUAGGGGGUUUAAUGGCUUUGACUAUAUUUCAUAGGGGGGUAAAUGUUAAUACUUUUAACACAGGGACUUUUCCGGCAAUUAGACUUAUCACAGGGGUGCCGCUUGCUAAAAACUCUAUUAUUUUCUAUGUUUUUUUUCCUCUAUUAAUUCUCUAAAUUUUCACUUCGAAACACUAUUUUGUGCAUAAAUAAUUAAUACAUAAUUAAUAAUAACACAACAGGUUAAAGACCGAAGCCCAUGGAGACGGCUUUUGAGAUCCUACACCGGGUGAAAUACACCGGGUAGAUCUUUACCAUUCAUAUACACACAAACAUGCACACACCCACAUUGGUAUGUGUAGAUCAGCGGUUAAAAAUACACCCGGUGUAACCUUCACCGAGUAUAGGAUAGAUAAAACCCAUGGGGACCCAAUACAUAAGCCAAAUUUAAUAAUGGGCCCACCAAAUAUCUAAUCUCAUGUAUAGAAAUUCCUUUAAUUCCCAUAAUUAGAUGUAAAACAUAUUGUAACUUUGACUAUUAGUCCUCUUAAAAUAGAAACACUUUGACUAGUGAAAGCAAAAAGAUAUUCUUAUCAAAAUUUAUCUGGACCAUACAUUCUCAAUCCACGUGAAUUGCAUAAAAUAAGUGGGGCAAUAUAUCUGCAUGCUUCACUGAUUGAAAAUAUUAUUUUUUUUUAUUUUUUCCACGUGACAUAUUUUUAUGUACAUCAAAUUCAAAUUCGAAUUGGAAAUGGGGUCACACAUUUGGCAACACAAACCAAAAGUAAGAUAAGAUCAAUUUGCAAUUUGCAUAGUGGCUGGUCCAUAUAGACCCCGUUAUUUCUAUUCUACAUCCGAUGAAAAUUAUACUGGUUGUCUUUUUAUCAUCGAUCUACAUACAUUAAUAUGUGUAUGUGUUUGUGUGUAUAUGAUCCGUAAAUGCAUAUAUAAAUUAUAUAUAUAUUUAGCAUUUCAUCUUAUUUUAACUAAUCUUAUAUUGACGACCAAAUGAGGUCUUAAAGUACUACAAUAAUAUACUAAAACUAGUAUUUUAAAAAUCGGUCGAGACAGGCGAUUAAUCGGUCUUCGGGAUAGAGGCGGUCUAAAACAUUUAUUAUUUUAGUGUAAAGUUUUGGAAAACUGAGUUUGGCCUAUAACGAAAUUUUAGACGGUUCGAAGUGGUCAAACCGAGUCAAACUUGACAUAUUUUACAACCUUGGCUAGAACCACAAUAGUAGUUAAAGAUAGAUAGAUGUAAGGCCAUUUAAUAAUGGGCCAUAGUCAUAAGCAAAGUAACUUUCAAUGCUGUAAAUAGGACCAAACACUGUCGGCCUCACAUUUGAGACGGAAUACUUUGGGGAUGUUUGGUUUCAUUUCCGAAAUCAAUUUCCACUUCUAUAUCUACUAUUUAUAAAACUGAGAUCAUGUUUGUUUCACAAUUUUAUCCAUAAAAUCUGAUUUUUUUCUUAUCAAAUUUAUAUUGAAAAUACACUAUUCAUACUUUUUCAAUUUUCAAACCUACUAACCAAUAUAUUUUAUUCCAUUAACUCGUUUCUCUCUCCUCAUUAAUAUUGACACACUCUCUCCUCUCAUUUAUCUCUCCUCAUUAAUAUCUACACUAUCUUUCCUCCCAAUUUCUCUAUCUACUACUACUACUAAAAAUAAUAAUAAUAAUAAUAAUAAUAAUAAUAAUAAUAAUAAUAAUAAUAAUAAUAAUAAUCCUCAAUCAUUAUAUUCUACUUUUGCACGUACUUUCCUAGAAAAAAUUCACCAUAAUCAAACAUAUUCCCAUUUCUAUACCUACAUAAAACUAAAAAUACCCAUUCAUCCAAAUAUAUUCUCAUUUUCUACACAAAAACAAAUAAACUACUUUUUCCAUCAGAAAUUUUGAAAACUAGAAAUUCCCAUUGGAAGCAUAACCAAACAUUCCCUUUAUUUCUCAGUUAAUGAGUGGAGCAAUAUAUACACCAUGUGCUUGAAGUUGAUGGUUCACUAAUUGAUUCGUUAUUUAUUUAUUUCACAUCACAUAUUUUUUUGUACAUCAAAACUCAAAAUCCAAAUAUAGAUUUGGAUAAGAUAAUUAAUUUGCAAUUUUCAUAUUAAAUGCUUGAUAACACUAUUACUAUAAUAGUAAAUCAUCCAUAUAUAUAUAUAUAUAUAUAUAUAUAUAUAUAUAUAUAUAUAUAUAUAUAUAUAUAUAUAUAUAUAUAUAUAUAUAAUAAUAAUAAUAAUAAUAGUAAUAAUAAUAAUAAUAUAUAUAUAUAUAUAUUCAUCCUCCACAUAUUUUAGUGGGAAAAUUACAAGCCCCCCAGAUGUAUGGUAAAUUUACAAAAAAAUCCUUCUUCUUUGGAUAAAUACAUCUAUCCCCUCAAAUGUGAUUUUUUCUUACACCUCCACCCUUAUGGUAUUUAAUUCAACAUAAUCAUCUAGAUUUCGUGGAAUGUGCUCUAGUUUGUACUCGUUUGUGUAAAAAUACAGUUCCUGAUGCACUGAUAUAUAUACAAGCCAAAAAACACAUAUUAUGAUCAUUUUGCUUCAAAUGUAGAGUUCGGAUAGGAUAAAAUUGGUACAAAAGUGAUAAUAUUUCAUAUAAUUUCGAAGAUAAUACUAAAUUUGAAACUGUAAGGGUAGACCUGAAAAAAGAUUUAUAGUUAAAGGAUGAUUGUAAUUAUCCAAACAGUAAGGAUUUUCGUAAUUUGACCAUACAUUAAAGGUGGUCGUGAUUUACACUAUUUUAUUUAUAUACAUACAGAUGUGAAUGCAAGAAUCCGAAAUUCAAAAUUAUGCAGCAAUGGCCGCCGUCAACUACUCCCAUUGUUUCAUAAUUUCGGUUCUCUUUUUUCUCUCCUUCCACGCCGACACUGCAUUUUCACAGAGAUGCCACCCAAAUGACAAAAAAGCCCUCCUAGAAAUCAGGAAAUACCUCAACACUCCUCCAAACAGCAACCUCAUCUCUGCGUAGGACCAGGCCUGGAAUCGUUUGCAUCGUCUAUAUACAAAACGAUCUACCUCUCUUGUUAUUCAUCUUAAGGACAAACUCUCUUCGAUUACUCGGGGCACUACCUCUGUGACAAAUUUUCUUCUCUCAAUUAAGAAGAUCGCUGAUGAACUCACCGUUCUUGGAAAUCCUCCGAGUGACGCCGACUUGCUUAUCUACACGACCCGUGGCCUUGGACCAGCCUACAAAGAACUAAUCACGACCCUUCGAACCCGUGACUCAGUGAUUCUUUUUGAAGAACUCUUUGAUAAAAUCAUUGACCAUGAAUCUUUCUUGUUGUAUAAUGAGAAAACUGAUCUUGAACCAACACCACCAACAACCCAUCUUACCACCCACUCACCUAACUUUCGUCAUGCGAAACGAGCUUCUCACCAAGACAUUCUCCCCACUCCCAGCCAUUAUAAACCUCCAAUCUCCACCAACCGUCCAUCACAACUACUGUGCCAAUUUUGUGACAAACGGGGACAUGAGGCAAAGCGUUGUUUCAAGUUAUUUUCCCAUCUCCGAUCGAACAGGCCUUCGGCAAAUCACAGCACAAUGGCUCCAUCCCCUAAUGCUCCUUGGAUUCUCGACUCGGGUGCUUCUCAUCAUGUUACCUCUCAGUUGUCAAAUAUGUCACUACCAAGGUUGUAAAAAGCGGUACUCGGGUCGGAGGUGGUUAGGGACCGACUCACGAUUAAUCGGUGCGGCAGUGAUUAAUCGAUGUUAAAUCGGAAAUAAAUCGGUUUUUAAAAUUUAAUAUAAUAUAUUUGUAGAUAUUAUUUAUAAAUACUCAAAACAUAGAUACAAAAAUAUUUAAACAUAGUUAUAUCUCCAUCAUGUAUAUAUUCUAAUAGCAUAAUAAAAGUUUAAUAAUAAUAAGAUCAUAAUACAUAAAUAUCCUUAUAAAAUAUAAAUAAAAAGGCAAUUUUUUUGGAAUUUACAUACACUCUUGGCAUACAUUAUUAGUUCUUUAACAAUCAUAAUUAACAUAAACAAAAUAAAGUAUAAACUCAUUUUUUUUGUUAUUAAAAUCUCAACUUUUAUUUUGAUUUAUAAAAAAAAUAAAAAACCGAUUUUUUGCCGAUUUUUGCCACCGAAGUUUGACCCGCCUUAAAGGUUUGACCGCCUCAGACCGCCUUGGACCGUCUCACAGGCAAAAAAAACGAUUUUUCAAACCUUUACACUAAAAUCGUAAAGGUUUUGGACCGCCUCCGCCUCGGCGACCGAUUAAUCGGCCGCAUCGGCCGAUUUUUAGAACACUGGUCACUACACCAACCUUACGAGGGCCCCGACGACAUCCAAAUUGGUGAUGGUUCAGGUUUAUCUAUCACUCAUACAGGCUCUACCUCUAUUGCGCCUUCAUUCCAUUUAUCCAAUAUUUUAUGUGUACCAUCUAUUAAACAAAAUCUUAUAUCAGUUGCCAAGUUUUUCCGUUUCAAUAACACUUCUAUUGAAUUCUUUCCAUAUUACUUUGCUGUAAAGGAUUUGCGUACGGGGACAUCUCUGCUCCACGGAAGGAAUCGGCAUGACCUCUAUGAGUGGCCGACAACGACGGACGCAACCACCAGCCCUUCUAAGGCUCUAUCGACUGGCAUUACCUCUUCGACUUCUCCAACAGUCUGGCACGGGCGUCUUGGCCAUCCGUCCCUCCCCAUAAUAAAGUCCCUAGCUACCUCUGGUCUCCUAUCCAUCUCUUCAUCUAUGCCAUUAUCUUUUCAUUGUGAGUCAUGUCUUUGUAAUAAAAGCCAACGAUUACCGUUUGGUGAGUCAACUUUAACUAGCAGUGGUCCUCUUGAUCUUAUUUAUACUGAUGUUUGGAGUCCUUCUCCCAUUCCUUCUGUUGAUGGUUUCUUUUAUUACGUUAUCUUUGUCGAUCACUAUACCACGUAUAUUUGGUUUUAUCCGUUGCGUCUUAAAUCCGUUUUCUAUUUUUCGCAAAUAUAAAAUGCUUGUUGAAAAAUAUUUCAAACGGAGUAUUUCCACCAUCUAUUCUGAUGGGGGUGGUGAAUAUACAACGUUGAAAUCCUUUUUAUCCAAUGAAGGAAUUCAAUACUUAAAAACACCACAUCACACUCCCCAACAUAAUGGUAUAGCUGAACGUCGUCAUAAACAUAUUGUUCAGGCGGGCCUCACUCUCCUCCACCAAGCCAAAAUGCCACAGAAUUAUUGGUCAUAUGCCUUCCAAACAGCAGUUUACCUCAUUAAUCGGCUCCCUACACCUAUUCUUAAUUUAUCCACACCAUAUGAAAAAUUAUUCUCACAUAAGCCAAAUUAUAAUAAGUUGAAGGUCUUUGGUUGUCUGUGUUUUCCUUGGCUAAAACUGUACACCUCGAACAAACUAGAGCCGACCUCCACUCCGUGCUCGUUUAUCGGCUACUCCCUUAAUCAAAGUGCCUAUUAUUGCUUAGAUAUGAAAAGCAAUAAAAUCUACACCUCUCGUCAUGUUCGAUUUAUUGAGUCUAAAUUCCCUUUCUCCAAUUAUGUCUCUUCUACCCAAAUAUUUCCCUCGGUCUCGAGUCCCUGGCCAUCUUUUAUCGCACCAAUUCUGCCGGUACAGCCAGCUGCAACUGACAUUGAUUCUCAGUAACUCAUAGAUGUCAUGCAAACUCUCUCCGUGAGCUCAGGUACUUCUACCUCUUCCUCUUUACAGCAACAUCAUUCUCCCUCACCACCCCUUGACCCGCCUACUACAUCCACAUCUCAUCCCAUGAUUACACGAUCUAAAAAUAACAUAUUCAAACCAAAACGUAUUCUUCAAAUUUCUACCAGACACCCGCUUCCGGAUUCCAUUGAACACACAUGUCUGACCCAAGCAAUGAAGCAAGUUGAGUGGCGGUAGGCCAUGUCGGAUGAGUAAAAUGCUCUCAUUCGCAAUGGGACGUGGGAGCUUGUCCCUCCAUUUACGUCUCAAAAUGUUGUCGGUUGCAAAUGGGUUUUUCGCAUCAAACGCAAUCCGGACAACUCUAUCUCUAAGUAUAAAGCUCUUCUUGUGGCUAAGGGAUUUCAUCAACGUCCGGGUCUUGAUUUUCAUGAGACGUUCAGCCCCGUUGUCAAGCUCACGACAAUUCGAGUUAUUAUUUCAAUAGCAUUAUCUAAUAGCUGGCCACUUCGCCAAUUGGAUGUCAAUAAUGCUUUUCUCCACGGGACAUUAUCUGAGGACGUUUAUAUGCAGCAACCCCCGGGGUAUUUUGAUAAAUCUAAUCCGAAUUUUAAGCAAGCUCCGCGCACAUGGUAUAAUGAGUUGAAAGGUUUUUUGCUCUCGUAUGGGUUUCAUAACUCUCACAGUGAUGCCUCUCUCUUUACUUUUCACAAGGAAUCUAUUACUUGUUUUUUCCUCGUUUAUGUUGAUGAUCUGCUAGUGACAGGCAAUUGCAACAAAUUUUUACACACUUUUCUCUCAGCUUUGGGUGCUCGGUUCUCUAUUAAAGACCUUGGGGAUCUUCAUUUUUUUCUCGGCAUUGAAGUAAUACCAACUCCCUCGGGACUUCUUCUUACUCAACACAAAUAUAUUUGCGAUCUCCUUGAGCGAAAUGACAUGGCUGGUGCUAAAGCUUGCACAACACCCAUGUCAUCGAACCAACCACUUCAUCUUCAUGAUGGAUUUCCUGCUGCUGAUGCUACCAAGUACAGACAAGUCAUUGGUGCGCUUCAAUAUCUAUCUCUUACGAGGCCCGACAUAUCAUAUGCGGUGAACAAGUUGGCGCAAUUUAUGCACUCUCCAUCCGAAGCUCAUUGGACAGCAACCAAAAGACUCUUGCGCUACCUUAAAUUCACCAUCCAUCAUGGUCUCUUCGUAAAAAAGAAUCAGCCACUAGCUUUAACCGCCUUCACCGAUGCUGAUUGGGCCGGCAACCGUGAUGAUCGUACAUCAACUUCAGCCUACAUUGUUUAUUUAGGUGGAAAUGUGAUCUCAUGGUGCUCCAAAAAGCAAAAAACGGUUGCUCGAUCGUCUACGGAAGCGGAAUACCGAGCUCUUGCCUCAUGUGCUGCUGAAAUACUCUGGUUAAAAAAAUCUGCUAUUGGAAGUUCAUGCCACACCUACCUCAGUCCCGACGAUCUUUUGCGACAAUAUCAGAGCAACCUAUCUCUCCGUCAACCCGGUGUUGCACUCACGUAUGAAAUAUAUUGCUAUUGACUAUCACUUUGUACAUAAUCACGUUACCAAAGGGUCCUUUACGGUAUCUCACAUUGCUUCCAAAGACCAGCUCGCGGAUGCUCUCAGAAAGCCGUUGUCAUCCUCUCUCUUUGAUCACAUUCGGUCCAAGAUCGGUAUCUCCAAUGGGAGCACCGUCUUGCGGGGGCGUGUUAGAGAUUAUCCCGCAACAAACUCUUCAGUGGUUUACAAUAUGAAAAACUCUAAUCCUAAAAUCUCUCCAACCUAAACAACUCAAACUUAUCUUCUGUAAAUUCUAGUCUAAGUAUUAAUCCUUUGUAUUUGUAUAUAUAUAAGAGACACACGGUGUAAUCAAAGUAUCAAUGAAAUCUUUUUUCUAUGCACCUUUAUUAUUCUUCACCACGAAACGACUACUGCGACUGGAAUCAAGUGGUCCGAUGCGACGGCGUCACCAAUCGCAUCACCAUCUUCAACCUCCUCCUCGCUGAUCUCAACCGUCUGAUUCCGGCCGCCGUUUUCGACCUCGUAUUCCUCGAAGAACUCUACUUCCACGAAACAAAUCUCACUGGCGGAAUCCCAAGCGCUAUCACGAAACUCUCUCAGCUCAAAUACCUAGAUCUGAGCUUGAACCAUCUUUCCGGCACAAUCCCUACAUUCCUCGGCCACCUCAAAAACCUUGUAUCCAUCGAUUUAUCGUACAACAGAUUCACCGGCUCUAUUCCAACAUAUAUUCAAAUUAUUAUUAUUAUUUUUUUUAUUGUGUGUGCAUUAAAAUUAUCAGGGUAUAGCUAAGAGGCUUAUGGAAUCAGCUGCGGAAAAUAGUAUUUUCCGUUAGAUGUGAACGGCGGAUACUUGAUGGAGGGGACCAAAAGUGAAAUUGGACGGAUGAAAAGGUGUAAUUCUCACUAGUUUUCAAAAUUCGAAAUAAAAACAUUGUUAAAAAGUGGGAAUCGACAUAAUUCAAAAUUCAGUUCAAGUUUAAUUUCAACUUGUGUAACACGGAGACUCCAACUUCUCAUUGUUUUUCCGUAUUUUCGAAACGUUUCGUGUCGAAAACUCGAAAACGCCUGCCGGACACCUUACGAGUCAUUUUACAAUUUUUAAAAAGUUAGAAACAUAUUUGAAUAGCUAAUUUUCAAAUAUUUUUUGUUGCUUCUCAAAUUAUUUAUAUGAUUUAAUGAUGAGUUGCAAAUUAAUAAUUGAUAGUAAAAUUUAUUUUCAAUAUAUUUGUAUAAAAAUAUAUAAAAAGAAUUUGUAUAUACAUAAAAAUUUAUAUAUGUUUAUACAGAAUAUCUAUAAAUACACCCCUAUACUUUUAAUAUUUACACGUUUCUCCUAAAUUCACGUUUCCCCAUUUUCGGAAAACCCCGUUUCCCCGUAUCACAGUUUCUGUGUCCGUACCACAUAGAGAGUCCAUAUGCUACCCCUUAUAUAAACCUCAACUAGUGGCAUGCAUUAUAAACUCAUCUCUCUUCUAUCCAAAAAUCAUGGCCACUAUUUCCGGCCAUUCUCUCAUACUUUUGCUAAUUCUCUUCUUCUCCUUCAACUCUUUGGCAUUUUCAAAGAGGUGCCAUGCAAAUGACAAAAAAGCCCUCCUACAAAUCAAGAAAGACCUCAACAAUCCCUAUGAUUUAAUCUCAUGGGAUCCGACCACCGACUGCUGCACCUGGUCCUCGGUGGACUGCGACGACAAAACCAACCGCAUCACCCGAUUCGACACCUCCGCCGCCAAUUUCGGCCUCCCCAUUCCGGCGGCCAUCGGAGACCUCAAGUAUCUCGAAAGCCUCGCUUUCCACAAAGUCAACGUCACCGGUCAAAUCCCGGAAUCCAUAACCAAGCUCACCAACCUCAAAUCUCUCGAUCUCCAGUGGAACUCUCUCACCGGCCCUGUUCCGUCGUUCCUCAGCAAACUCAAGAAGCUGACGUACAUUGGGCUGUCGUUCAACAGCUUCUCCGGCACGAUUCCGGCGUCGCUCUCCCAGCUCCCGAACCUCGGCGGCCUCGGUUUGGACCGGAACAAACUCACCGGCUCAAUCCCGGAAUCUUUCGCCGAUUUCCGGCAGCAGGAUUUCUACCUCUACCUCUCACAUAAUCAGCUGACGGGGAAUAUUCCGGCGAGAUUGGGGCACGCCAACUUCACGUGGAUCGAUGUAUCAAGAAACAGGCUUGAAGGUGACAUAUCGUUCUUGUUCGGGAAGAACAAGAGCUUAAACACCGCCGAUUUUUCGAGGAACAUGUUUCAGUUCGAUUUCUCCAAGGUGGAGUUUUCGGAGAGCUUGAGGAAUCUGGAUCUGAACCACAACAGGAUUACGGGGAGAUUGCCGGAGGGAUUGGCUAAGAUGGGUGAUCUUAUUUCUCUGAACGUGAGUUACAAUCGGCUUUGCGGCAAGAUUCCGGUGGGCGGGAGUUUGCAGAGGUUUGAAACGACGUCGUAUUUCCACAACAAGUGCUUGUGUGGUGCCCCGUUGCCGAAAUGCAAAUGAUUUUAUUAUUAUUAUUAUUAUGGAAUAUUCCUGCAAAUUAGUAUUAUAUUGCAGAUGCAUUUGCGGCGCUUAAAUUAUUAAUUAAUUGUAAUCUUCAUAACAUGUUAUGAAUUUGAAAUAAAUUUUAAGCCCUUAAAUUAUUAAUUGCAAUCUUAGUGAUAUUAUCAAUCUAAAUUAAAAAUUGGGUAAAAUUCAUUUUACCUACCUGAACUAUACCCAACGUAUAAAAUACAUCCCUGAACUUCAAAAUGUAUCAAACCAGCCCCUCCGUUAAAAAUCCAUCCACCUCUGCUGACAUGGCACAUUGACUUUUAAAAUUAUAUCCAGUGGCAUGACAAGUGGCUUUUUCCGGACAAUUUUACCCCUGCAGUACUUUCAUAUAUGGUCUAAUUAGAGGGGUUUUUGUGAAUCAGUUAAUGCAAUUAAAUAUUUAAUUUUUAUUUUUCCUCAAAUAAAUAAAUAAUUAAAAUAAACUGUGAAUCAAUAUUUAGUUUUUAUUUGUGACUUUUUUUUUUGAGUAAAAAAGUAAAGUAAUCUAAUUAAAUGAAAAAACACAAUAUAAUUAAAAGAAGUCCUAAUCCAAUUAGCUUGGUCAGACCCUCCUAAUGGACUCAUCUCCUUCGCAGCUGCACCAUAUCACGACCCAAUUUGAAUUCUUCAAGAUUCAAAUUCCUGGAGAACACAAGAAACGAAUUCGGAGGAAAACCAAAGAGAAACCCAAUACAAAUCCCUUUUAAAAAGGUCACAAAAUCAGAAAUUGGGGCACACAAGAAACGGGUUGAUGUUUUCGUCGGAUUCCGCCGACAUCUUGGCCGUGUAGGGCGGAGCGAAGUCGGAGCUGCGCUGGUUUCGCAACGAAGAGUUCAAAUUUCUUCUGGAUUUCAUUUUUUUCCGGUCGCCACCGCCAACGGAAACCCAAAUAGGGGUUUGUGAGAAGCUUGACCUCCCGCCGGAAAAACAUGAGCUAAUCCUUAAUUUCAGAUGUGUGAAAGUAGGUUUUAUUGUUUUAUGGGUCAUGGUACUAGAGAGAGAAGAGGAACAAUGGUGAUGUGUUUGAUGAACAUCACUUCUGUAGAAAGAAAGAAAAGGGACGAAGAAGAAAGAAAGAAAAUGAAGGAUGAGGGAGAAAAAGUUGGAGAGAUAAUAUGACUGGACAAAAAUGUAAAAACACAUAAAAAACUAACGGAGUUAAAAAUUGUAACGGUUUUAACGUUGACUCAAAAUUCAGAGGGACUAUCUUGGUUCAUUUCAAAGUUCAGGGGGGGUAUUUUAUACGUUGGAUAUAGUUCAGGUAGGUAAAAUGAACUUUACCCUUAAAAAUUUAAAGUACACGUGAAAUAAUAAAAAGAUUUGCAUGUAUUAUUGCAUUAUGGCACGUGAAACUAACCCUAAGAUAUUUUUGUAAUAUUAUUUUAAAAAAGUUUUUCUUUCAUUUUUUUAUAUUCCACCUAAUCAUAUUUUUUUGGGUAAGUUACAACUAUACCUGAGGUAUGGUUAAAUUAUAAGAAACACCCUCUUGUUUGGGUAUUUACAACCACCCCUUCAACUAUAAAUCUUCUUAUACGUCCACCCCUGCGGUUUCAAAUUUAGUGAAAUCUUCAAGAUUAUAUGGAAUAUUAUCUUCGAGGUGUAAGAAAAAAUCAUAGUUGAGGGGAGUAGAUGUAAUUAUCCAAACAAGAGAGGUUUUUUCAUAAAUUGACCAUACCUCAGGGGUGUUUGUAAUUUACCCUAUUUUUUUUUUAUAUAUCUACAACAACUUAUUUUAUCCCACAAAAAUCUCUCAAUUAAUUUACUAACACUUCACUUUUUUGUUAAUGAAGAAGUAUAAUAUUUAUACUUUCUUUCACGACAUCUUUUGAAUUAUUAUUUUUGUAUGUUUUUUUUUCUCUAUUAAUUCUCUAAUUUUUCACUUUGAAAGCUAUUUUAUGCAUCGUCUCCGGAGAAAAUGCUAGUAAUUGGAGACCCAAUACAUAAGCCAAAUUUAAUAAUGGGGCCCAUCAAAUAUCUAAUCUCAUGUAUAUAAAUUCCCAUAAUUAAAUGUAAACAUAUUGUAACUUUGACUAUUAGUCCUCUUAAAAUAGAAACACUUUGACAGUUUGACUAGUGAAAGCAAAAAGAUAUUUUUAUCAAAAUUUAUUUGGACCAUACAUUCUCAAUCCACGUGAAUUGCAUAAAGUUUCUUUCUUGUACUCAAAUAAUGAGUGGGGCAAUAUAUCUGCAUGCUUCACUGAUUGAAAAUAUUAUUUUUUUAUUCUUUCCACGUGACAUAUUUUUAUGUACAUCAAAUUCAAAUUCGAAUUGGAAAUGGGGUCACACAUUUGGCAACACAAACCAAAAGUAGGAUAAGAUCAAUUUUGCAAUUUGCAUAGUGGAUGGUCCUUUUACUUAGUUAUUUCUAUGUUACACCCGAUGAAGACUACAUUGAGUGUCUUUUAUCGUUGAUUUAAACAUACUAAUACGAGUGUGUGUGAUUUCUGUCUCAGAGGGUUCUCAGAUGAAUUACCUUGUGCAAGAGGAGCUUUCCCAUUACUUCCAUUGACUGCUUUCACCAAUUCUCCAACUAAUUUGGUCAGAUCUUCAAUUUUUUGAUUAGUCUCUACUCUGUUUCUAGUCAUUUAUGUGUGCAAAUUUGACAACAUCUCUCCUAUUUCACUCUGUAUCUUUUUGUUGAAUGCUAAUUGCUCAUCCAGAUAGACUUCUGCAUCAAAUCUGGUGUUGUCUCCAGAUCCCGUUCUGACAUGACUCCUUGUCAUCAUUCCUAGCUCCUCGCCAGAAACGAUGGCUCUAGAUACCAAUUGUUAUGAUUUCUUCCUCUUGAUGAAUCAUGAAGCUUGAAAUUUACCUGCAAAUGUGAAAUAUGAUGGAUAUGAUAGGGUGAGAAGAAUGAUACUGGCGGCGGUUCUUUAGGCUUAGGUAGAGAUUUCUAGCAAAAGAAACUACACUAUAUUAACCUAAAAGUUACCAGCAAAUUGACGAAAAAAUGGCAGGCUCCUCUCUUGUCUUUUUAUACUGCAAAAGCAGGUGAGAAGAGAGGGGUUCAGGAGUGCUCCUCCUCAUGCAAAGUUGGUGAGCUGCCUCGGUGUAUGAAACGGUGCCGUUUCCCCAUUAUUCAAGCUGAAGUAAUAAAACGUGAAAUAAUAUAAAACGUGUCCACGCUUCUAUGAGUUGAACGACGUCGUUUAUUCCUACGGUAAUUCAAAAUACCGUUUAUUCUGUUACAACGUGUUAUUAUUCUGAUACAAGGUACCUCCGGAGGCGCCAGUAGUGUCGUGAAUUGUCAUUGGAUGAGGAUCAUACAUUAUAGGCAGAUUGAAAUCGGUGGAAAUGCUGCCUUUGUCGGAAUCUACGGCACCGCCUCCUCCACUUAAUAUACGUUGCUAAUUAAUCACCUAUUCUACCACUUAAUCAGUACGUAAUUCAUAGUACGCAAUAAUUUUGAUGUAUUUCAUUACUUAACUCAGGAAUUUCUAGAGAAAGAUGUCGGACGAUAUUCAAACGUAACUUUCAAAGACAAUCCUCAAAUUAUUUACAUCGAUUUAAUGACCAGUUGCAAAUUAAUAAUUUAUAGUAAAAUUUAUUUUCAAUAUAUUUGUAUAAAAAUAUAUAAAAAGAAUUUAUAUAUACAUAAAAAUUUAUAAAUGUUUAUACAGAAUAUUUACACUUUCCCCUAAGUUCACGUAUCCCCAUUUUCGAAAAACCCCGUUUCCGCGUAUCACCGUUUCUGUAUCCGUACUACAUAGACAGUCCAUAUCCUACCCCUUAUAUAAACCUCAACUAGUGGCAUGCAUUAUACACUCAUCUCUCUUCUAUCCAAAAAUCAUGGCCACUAUCUCCGGCCAUUGUCUCAUACUUUUGCUAAUUCUCUUCUUCUUCUCCUUCAACUCUUUGGCAUUUUCAAAGAAAUGCCAUCCAAAUGACAAAAAAGCCCUCCUACAAAUCAAGAAAGACCUCAACAAUCCCUACGAGUUAAUCUCAUGGAAUCCGACCACCGACUGCUGCACCUGGUCCAUGGUGGACUGCGACGAAAAAACCAACCGCAUCACCCGAUUCGACACCUCCGACGCCAAUUUCGGCCUCCCCAUUCCGGCGGCCAUCGGAGACCUCAAGUAUCUCGAAAACCUCGCCUUCCACAAAGUCAACGCCACCGGUCAAAUCCCGGAAUCCAUAACCAAACUCACCAACCUCAAAUUUCUCGAUCUCCGGUGGAACUCUCUCACCGGCCCUGUUCCGUCGUUCCUCAGCAAACUCAAGAAGCUGACGUACAUUGGGCUGUCGUUCAACAGCUUCUCCGGCACGAUUCCGGCGUCGCUCUCCCAGCUCCCGAAC
rnacentral:lncRNA from 1 species